GUGCCAGCAGCCGCGGUAAUACGUAGGGCGCAAGCGUUGUCCGGAAUUAUUGGGCGUAAAGAGCUCGUAGGUGGCUUGUUGCGUCUGCCGUGAAAGCCCGUGGCUUAACUACGGGUCUGCGGUGGAUACGGGCAGGCUAGAGGCUGGUAGGGGCAAGCGGAAUUCCUGGUGUAGCGGUGAAAUGCGCAGAUAUCAGGAGGAACACCGGUGGCGAAGGCGGCUUGCUGGGCCAGUUCUGACGCUGAGGAGCGAAAGCGUGGGGAGCGAACAGGAUUAGAUACCCCAGUAGUCC
rnacentral:rRNA from 1 species